GAUGAACGCUGGCGGCGUGCCUAAUACAUGCAAGUCGAGCGAAUGGAUUAAGAGCUUGCUCUUAUGAAGUUAGCGGCGGACGGGUGAGUAACACGUGGGUAACCUGCCCAUAAGACUGGGAUAACUCCGGGAAACCGGGGCUAAUACCGGAUAACAUUUUGAACCGCAUGGUUCGAAAUUGAAAGGCGGCUUCGGCUGUCACUUAUGGAUGGACCCGCGUCGCAUUAGCUAGUUGGUGAGGUAACGGCUCACCAAGGCAACGAUGCGUAGCCGACCUGAGAGGGUGCUCGGCCACACUGGGACUGAGACACGGCCCAGAGUCCUACGGGAGGCGGCAGUAGGGAAUCUUCCGCAAUGGACGAAAGUCUGACGGAGCAACGCCGCGUGAGUGAUGAAGGCUUUCGGGUCGUAAAACUCUGUUGUUAGGGAAGAACAAGUGCUAGUUGAAUAAGCUGGCACCUUGACGGUACCUAACCAGAAAGCCACGGUUAACUACGUGCCAGCCGCCGCAGUAA
rnacentral:rRNA from 1 species